GACGAACGCUGGCGGCGUGCUUAACACAUGCAAGUCGAACGGAAAGGCCCUGCUUUUGUGGGGUGCUCGAGUGGCGAACGGGUGAGUAACACGUGAGUAACCUGCCCUUGACUUUGGGAUAACUUCAGGAAACUGGGGCUAAUACCGGAUAGGAGCUCCUGCUGCAUGGUGGGGGUUGGAAAGUCUCGGCGGUUGGGGAUGGACUCGCGGCUUAUCAGCUUGUUGGUGGGGUAGUGGCUUACCAAGGCUUUGACGGGUAGCCGGCCUGAGAGGGUGACCGGCCACAUUGGGACUGAGAUACGGCCCAGACUCCUACGGGAGGCAGCAGUGGGGAAUAUUGCACAAUGGGCGGAAGCCUGAUGCAGCAACGCCGCGUGCGGGAUGACGGCCUUCGGGUGGUAAACCGCUUUCGCCUGUGACGAAGCGUGAGUGACGGUAAUGGGUAAAGAAGCACCGGCUAACUACGUG
rnacentral:rRNA from 1 species